UCCGGUUUGUCACCGGCAGUCUCCCUAGAGUUCCCACCAUUACGUGCUGGCAACUAGGGACAAGGGUUGCGCUCGUUGCGGGACUUAACCCAACAUCUCACGGCACGAGCUGACGACAGCCAUGCAGCACCUGUGCAGAAGUCCCGAAGGAAGAUCCCAUUUCUGGGACUGUCUUCUGCAUGUCAAGCCUGGGUAAGGUUCUUCGCGUUGCAUCGAAUUAAACCACAUGCUCCACUGCUUGUGCGGGUCCCCGUCAAUUCUUUUGAGUUUCAGCCUUGCGACUGUACUCCCCAGGCGGUAUACUUAACGCGUUAGCUACGGCACGGGAGGAGUCGACACCUCCCACACCUAGUGCCCAUCGUUUACGGCGUGGACUAC
rnacentral:misc_RNA from 1 species